rnacentral:rRNA from 1 species
UACGUAGGGGGCCAGCGUUGCUCGGAAUUACUGGGCGUAAAGGGUUCGUAGGUGGUGCGGCAAGUUGGGAGUGAAAUCUCUGGGCUUAACUCAGAGGCUGCUUUCAAAACUGCCGUGCUCGAGUGCGAGAGAGGCCAGUGGAAUUGCAGGUGUAGCGGUGAAAUGCGUAGAUAUCUGGAGGAACACCGGUGGCGAAGGCGGCAUCCUGGACCGGUAUUGACGCUGAGGCGCGAAAGCCAGGGGAGCAAACGGG